AUUGAACGCUGGCGGCAGGCCUAACACAUGCAAGUCGAACGGUAGCACAGAGAGCUUGCUCUCGGGUGACGAGUGGCGGACGGGUAAGUAACGUCUGGGAAACUGCCCGAUGGAGGGGGAUAACUACUGGAAACGGUAGCUAAUACCUCAUAACGUCGCAAGACCAAAGUGGGGGACCUUCGGGCCUCACACCAUCGGAUGUGCCCAGAUGGGAUUAGCUAGUAGGUGGGGUAAUGGCUCACCUAGGCGACGAUCCCUAGCUGGUCUGAGAGGAUGACCAGCCACACUGGAACUGAGACACGGUCCAGACUCCUACGGGAGGCAGCAGUGGGGAAUAUUGCACAAUGGGCGCAAGCCUGAUGCAGCCAUGCCGCGUGUAUGAAGAAGGCCUUCGGGUUGUAAAGUACUUUCAGCGGGGAGGAAGGCGGUGAAGUUAAUAACUUCACCGAUUGACGUUACCCGCAGAAGAAGCACCGGCUAACUCCGUGCCAGCCGCCGCUGUAA
rnacentral:rRNA from 1 species